rnacentral:rRNA from 1 species
GACAGAGGUCCCAAGCGUUAGGCGGAAUCACUGGGCUUAAAGCGUGUGUAGGCGGAUUUGUAAGUACCUUGUGAAAUCCCACGCUUAACCUGGAACUGCUUGGUAUACUGCUUAUCUUGAGCCACUUAGGGGCAACCGGAACAAACGGUGGAGCGGUGAAAUGCGUAGAUAUCGUUUUGGAACGCCAAUGGUGAAAAACAGGUUUGCUGGGGAGUGUGCUGACGUGAGACACGAAAGCCAGGGGAGCGAACGGGG